rnacentral:rRNA from 1 species
GUGAGGAAUAUUGGACAAUGGAGGAGACUCUGAUCCAGCCAUGCCGCGUGCAGGAAGACGGCCCUAUGGGUUGUAAACUGCUUUUAUACGGGAAGAAAAACAGCUACGUGUAGUUGACUGACGGUACCGUAAGAAUAAGGACCGGCUAACUCCGUGCCAGCAGCCGCGGUAAUACGGAGGGUCCGAGCGUUAUCCGGAAUUAUUGGGUUUAAAGGGUCCGUAGGCGGGCCAUUAAGUCAGGGGUGAAAGUCUGCGGCUCAACCGUAGAAUUGCCUUUGAUACUGGUGGUCUUGAGUUAUGGUGAAGUGGCUGGAAUAUGUAGUGUAGCGGUGAAAUGCAUAGAUAUUACAUAGAACACCGAUUGCGAAGGCAGGUCACUAACCAUAUACUGACGCUGAUGGACGAAAGCGUGGGGAGCGAACAGGAUUAGAAACCCCAGUAGUCC